GACGAACGCUGGCGGCGUGCCUAACACAUGCAAGUCGAACGGAAAGGCCCUGCUUGCAGGGUACUCGAGUGGCGAACGGGUGAGUAACACGUGGGUGAUUUGCCCUGCACUUCGGGUUAGGUCUGGGAAACUGGGCCUAAUACCGGCUAGGAGCCAUUUUUAGCGUGAUGGUUGGAAAGUUUUUUCGGUGUGGGAUGAGCUGGCGGGCUAUCAGCUUGUUGGUGGGGUAAUGGCCUACCAAGGCGGCGACGGGUAGCCGGCCUGUGAGGGUGGACGGCCACAUAGAGACUGAGGGGAGGCACAGGCGCGGACGGGAGGCAGAAGUGGGGAAGCUUGCACAAGGGGCGCCAGGCUGAUGCAGAAAGGCCGCGGGGGGGAUAACGGUCUUAGGGUUGAAGAAUCAAUUCGCUAGGAACGAAGCUUGUUGUGACGGUACCUAGAGAAGAAGCACCGGCUAACUACGUG
rnacentral:rRNA from 1 species